rnacentral:lncRNA from 8 species
AUGGCGCUCGGGCACGGCUCCAAAAAGUCGCGCUUCUGUGAUUUGGAGGUAGCACCAGCUCCCGUGGACCUGCCAUUGGAAUGGGUGGGGCCCGGUAACGAAGCCUCUGUGACAUCCUCUAAGAUGUUGAGACGACCCUGCAGGUGUCUCCUAGCCUUCCUUAUCAUCGUCACCAUCAUCAUCCUCUCGGGAGGAGCAACUCUGGCAUGGUACUUCCUGGAGUACAGGGUGUGGGUACUGGAGCCCAGGGUACAGCAGCAGUAUACUGCUAGACUCUCUAUCCUCAACAGGAACUACUCCUCUGGUCUCUCCUCUCACACCAGCCCAGCCUUCACAGCCCAGGCCAAGGAAGUAGAAGAUAUGGUGAGGAGGAUAGUGAAGGGCUCAGACCUAUCUCGCUACUUCAACUCCACCAAAGUCUUUGCUUUUGGGUACAUAAAACCAGAUCUAUAAAUACAGGUCUACAUACAUAUCUAUGUCAUGUAUUUCUAUACCUAGUACUGUAUAUCUAUGACUGUAAAUAUACAGCUGAAGUUGGAAGUUUACAUAAACCUUAGCCAAAUACAUUUCAAUUCUGUUUUUCACAAUUCCUGACAUUUAAUCCUGGUAAUAAUUCCCUGUCUUAGGUCAGUUAGGAUCACCACUUUAUUUUAAGAAUUGACAUUUCAGAAUAAUAGCAGAGAGAAUGAUUUAUUUCAGCUUUUAUUUCUUUCAUCACAUUCCCAGUGGGUCAGAAGUUUACAUACACUCAAUUAGUAUUUGGUAGCAUUGCCUUUAAAUUGUUUAACUUGGGUUAAACGUGUCGGGUAGCCUUCCACAAGCUUCCCACAAUGAGUUGGGUGAAUUUUGGCCCAUUCCUCCUGACAGAGCUAGUGUAAUUGAGUCAGGUUUGUAGGCCUCCUUGCUCACACACACGUUUUCAGUUCUGCCCACAAAUUGUCUAUGGGAUUGAGGUCAGGGCUUUGUGAUGGCCACUCCAAUACCUUGACUCUGUUGUCCUUAAGCCAUUUUGCCACAACUUUGGAAGUAUGCUUGGGAUCAUUGUUCAUUUGGAAGACCCAUUUCCGACCAAGCUUUAACUUCCUGACUGAUGUCUUGAAAUGUUGCUUCAAUAUAUCCACAUAAUUUCCCUUCCUCAUGAUGCCAUCUAUUUUGUGAAGUGCACCAGACCCUCCUGCAGCAAAGCACCUCCACAACAUGCUGCUGCCACCCCCGUUCUUCACGGUUGGGAUGGUGUUCUUCGGCUUGCAAGCCUCCCCCUUUUUCCUCCAAAAAUAACGAUGGUCAUUAUGGCCAAACAGUUCUAUUUUUGUUUCAUCAGACCUGAGGACAUUUCUCCAAAAAGUACGAUCUUUGUCCCCAUGUACAGUUGCAAACCGUAGUCUGGCUUUUUUUAUGGCGGUUUUGGAGCAGUGGCUUCUUCCUUGCUGAACGUCCUUUUAGAUUAUGUUGAUAUAGGGCUCGUUUUACUGUGGUUAUAGAUACUUUUGUACCUGUUUCCUCCAACAUUGUCACAAGGUCCUUUGCUGUUGUUCUGGGAUUGAUUUGCACUUUUCGCACCAAAGUAUGUUCAUCUCUAGGAGACAGAACGCGUCUUCUUCCUGAGCGGUAUGACAUCUGCGUGGUCCCAUGGUGUUUAUACUUGCAUAUUAUUGUUUGUACAGAUGAACGUGGUACCUUCAGGUUUUUGGAAAUUGCUCCCAAGGAAGAACCAGAAUUGUGGAGAUCUACAAUUUUUUUCUGAGGUCAAGGCUGAUUUCUUUUGAUUUUCCCAUGAUGUCAAGCAAAGAGGCACUGCGUUUGAAGGUACAUCCACAGGUACACCUCCAACUGAUUCAAAUGAUGUCAAUUAGCCUAUCAGAAGCUUCUAAAGCCAUGACAUAAUUUUCUGGAAUUUUCCGAGCUGUUUAAAGGCACAGUCAACUUAGUGUAUGUAAACUUCUGACCCACUGGAAUUGUGAUACAGUGAAUUAUAAGUGAAAUAAUCUGUCUGUAAACAGUUGUUGGAGAAAUGACUUGUGUCAUGCAAAGUACAUAUCCUAACCGACUUGCCAAAGCUAUAGUUUUUUAACAAGAAAUUUGUGGAGUGGUUGAAAAAUGAGUUUUAAUGACUCCAACCUAAGUGUAUGUAAACUUCCGACAUCAACUGUAUCUAGGUAUUAAACAUACCUACCCACACAACAUUGACACACAUUAUACACUUACAUGCAUAUCUAUAUCAUGUAGCCUAUAUCUUUACAGUACCAGUCAAAAGUUUGGACAAACCUACUCCAUAUUAUGGCAAGAACAGCGCAAAUAAGCAAAGAGAAGUGACAGUCCAUCAUUGCUUUAAGACAUGAAGGUCAGUCAAUACGGAACAUUUCAAGAACUUUCAAAGUUUCUUCCAGUGUAGUCACAAAAACCAUCAAGCGCUAUGAUGAAACUGGCUCUCAUGAGGACCGCCAAAGGAAUGGAAGACCCAUAUUUACCUCUGCUGCAGAGGAUAAGUUAAUUAGAGUUAACAGCCUCAGAAAUGGACAAUUAACUGCAUCUCAGAUUGCAGCCCAAAUAAUUGCUUCUCAGAGUUCAAGUAACAGACACGUCUCAACGUCAACUGUUCAGAGGAGACUGCAUGAAUCAGGCCUUCAUGGUUGAAUUGCUGCAAUGAAACCACUACUGAAGGACACCAAUAAGAAGAAGAGACUUGCUUGGGCCAAGAAACACAAGCAAUGGACAUUAGACCGGUGGAAAACUGUCCUUUGGUCUGAUGAGUCCAAAUGUGAGAUUUUUGGUUCCAACUACCGUAUCUUUGUGAGACGCAGAGUACGUGAACAGAUGAUUUCCACGUGUGUGGUUCCCACCGUGAAGCAUGGAGGAGGAAGUGUUAUAGUGUGGGGAUGCUUUGCUGGUGACACUGUCAGUGAUUUAUUUAGAAUUCAAGGCAACCUUAACAAGCAUGGCAACCACAGCAUUCUGCAGCGAUACUCCAUCCCAUCUGGUUUGUACUUAGUGGGACUAUCAUUUGUUUUUCAACAGAACAAUGACCCAACACACCUCCAGGCUGUGUAAGGGCUAUUUGACCAAGAAAUAGAGUGAUGGAGUGCUGCAUCAGAUGACCUGGCCUCCACAAUCCCCUGAACUCCGAAUUGAGAUGGUUUGGGAUGAGUUGGACUGCAGAGUGAAGGUAAAGCAGCCAACAAAUGCUCAGCAUAUCUGGGAAAUCCUUCAUGACUGUUGUAAAUGCAUUCCAGCAGCAUACCACCCUGCAACCCACUGCUGGCUGCUUCUGAAGCUAAGCAGGGUUGGUCCUGGUUGGUCCCUAGAUGGGAGACCAGAUGCUGCUGGAAGUGGUGAUGGAGGGCCAGUAGGAGGCACUCUUUCCCCCUGUCAAUAAAAAUAUCCCAAUGCCCCAGGGCAGUGAUUGGGGACAUUGUCCUGUAGGGUACUGUUUUUUGGAUGGGAUGUUAAAUGGGUGUCCUGACUCUCUGUGGUCACUUAAGAUCUCAUGGCACUUAUUGUAAGAGUAGGGGUGUUAACCCUGGUGUCCUGGCUAAAUUCCCAAGCCAUCAUGGUCACCUAAUCAUCCCCAGCUUACAAUUGGCUCAUUCAUCCCCCCUCCUCUCCCCUGUAACUAUUCCCCAGGUUCUUGCUGUAAAUGAGAAUGUGUUCUCAGUCAACUUACAUGGUAAAAUAAUUCCAGGUGACUACCUCAUGAAGCUCGUUGAGAGAGUGCAAAGGGUGGCUACUUUGAAGAAUUUAAAAUAUUUGUUUAACACUUUUUUUGGUUACUACAUGAUUCCAUAUGUGUUAUUUCAUAGAUUUGAUGUUUUCACUAUUAUUUUACAAUGUAGAAAAUAGUAAAAAUAAAGAAAAACCCUUGAAUGAGUAGGUGUGUCCUAACUUUUGACUGGUACUGUAUUUUGAUCUAUAAAACAUUCUUGCAAUGCCCACACAAACUUUCGAUCCAGCUGUUAUCAGCUCACUGUGUC